UUUUUUUUUUUUUUUAUUGUUUUAGUGCUUAAAAAAUUUUUUUAAUUAUAGUUGAUUUACAAUGUUGUGUCAGUUUCUGCUGUACAGCAAAAUGACCCAGUCUCUCUCUCUCUCACACACAUACACAUCUUUUUCUCACAGUAUCUUCCAUCAUGUUCUGUCACAAGAGAUUAGAUAUAGUUCCCUGUGCUAUACAAAGCAUUUCAGUGCUGCUUAGGUUUGUCCUGUAUGUGCACCCUCCAGUGGUCAGUGUGAGAAGAGGUGGUGGUUUAUUCUUUAAUUCAGUUCUCCAGUCUUUGGUACAGUGUUUAGGAUCAAAUCGGUGCAUGCUCAUCUUGAGGGUGAUCCCAGGAGUUCAUCAACAACUUUAUGGAGUCAGUUUCCAGAGUUCUGCCUUCUCCACAAUCUCCCUAGUAUUCUUGGGUUCUCUGGGGCUUCUCUUUGUGGUUCUUUAGCCAAAAUGCCAGCAUUUUAGUUACUUUGCUUUGUUGUGCCCUCACUCAGCGCUAAGAGGCAAAAGGUUAGAGAAAGUGAAAAAGAGUUAGUGAAAGAGGAGAGCAAUUAGAUUUGUCCCAAUCCCUCUCUCUCUCUCUUUUUGGCUGCACCUGCAGCUUAUAGAAGUUUCUGGGCCAGGGAUGGAGCCCUCACCACAGCAGCAACCCAAGUUGCUGCAGUGACAAUGCCAGAUCCUUAACCUGCUGUGCCGCAAGGGAACUCUUAAAUUUGUCCCAAUCUCUUGAGAUUCCUCCAAUCAGAAAGGUGUCUCUCCUUUAGAGUUUUAGGUGACUGCAGGCCUCAUAUGUCACUGCAGCAGGANNNNNNNNNNNNNNNNNNNNNNNNNGAACAUUUUUAAAGGUGUAUUUCCUCACCCUUUCUGAGCAUGAAGAGUGCCUUUCCCAUUCUUCAAAUGAGAAUUAGGAGACUUCUCCUAUAGUUUUCACCAUCUCUGGCCCAGCUGCCCACUUUCAGGUUUCAGGCUGUUUGGGUCUGGCCUAGGAAAUACUGAGGUGAUUUUCUUUCCCAUUCGCCUGCUACUAUUUACUCUUCAAAACCUCCCAUGUAUUUUGUCCAGGUUUUAUUAUUGCAUUUAGCAGGAGAGAUAGGGAGGAGUAUGUUUACUUUAUGUUACUUAGCUCAUUCCUUCUUACUGCCAAGUGGUAUUCCAUUGUAUGCGACCCUCUAUUUAUUCAUUCUCUUAUUAAGGUCAUUUUUAUUGUUUUUCGUUUGUGGCUAUUACAAAUUAAGCAGCAAGAUGCAUUCAAGUACAUGUCUUUGUGAAGACACAUACUUUCACAUUUAUUUUGCAAAAUAUCUAAAAAUGGAAAGCCUAGGUUAUAUGGUAGGUAUGUACUUAAAUUUUUAGGAAAAUGCCAAAAUGUUUUCCAAAGUAGUUGUAUCAUUUUACAUUCCUGUCAGCAUCUUAGGAACAUUCCAGUUGCUCCAUAUAACUGCCAACACUUGGUAAAGUCUUUUUCAUUUAGCCUUCCUAGUAGAUGUAUGGUAUUAUUUCAUUGUGGUUUUAGUUUGUGUGUCCUUAAUGACUACUGAUGUUGAGCAUUUUUUCAUAUGCUUAUUUGCCGCCCAUGUAUCUUUGGUAAAAUAUCCAGUUAAUUCUUCUGUCCAUUAAAAAAAAAUGUGUUGUCUUACUAUUCAAUUGUAAGCAUUCUUUAUAUACUCUAUAUACAAGACAUAUGAUUUGCAAAUAUUUUAUCAGACAUAUGAUUUGCAAAUAUUUUCUUCAUUCUACAGCCAUCAUGUUUUAUUCAGCUCUCUUUGACUUCUCCUCCAUACUGUGCCUGGAUCCACUCCCUGUUCUUUCCACUGAUACCACCAUUACCUUAGUUCAUCUCUCCUGGAUUGUCCUCCUACUCUGGCCUCCCCCACAGCUGUCGUCUUAUUCUACUCCUCCUUCCCCUCCUCCUCCUGCUUCUUCUUUUAAAUGUUUUUGGCCACACCCGUGGCAUAUGGAAGUUCCCAGACCUUUGCAUAAGCUAUUCCCUCUGCCUGGAGUGUUCUUCACCCUGUUUUGCACAUUUAUGCCCCUUCUGUCAUUUAGAAAGUUAAAAUGUCACCAUUUUAGAUAUCCUUUGAACACAAAAUCUAAAGUGGCUACCUCCAUACUGUCUAUGACAUGCUAUUUAAUUUCUCUGCAGAAUUGUUAUCACAAUAUAGUACUUUGUUUGUUGUUUGUUGCCUACCUUCACUAGGGUUUCAUGAGAGCAGGGAUUCUGACUUAUUCAUUUCCAUAUGCCUGGUGUCUACAGCCAUGCACAGCACAUAGUACAGGCUCAGUAAAUUCUUACUGAAUAUCUGAGCCCAUAGCACCUGCCUCUGUGUCUGGAGCUUUGCCACAGAAUAAAUGCCACCUGAAUUUGUCAAGAAAUCUAUCCCCAUAGCACAAUGAUCAAAAAGCACCCAUGAACUAGAAAAGGGAGAAAAAAGACACCCAUGCAGGAAAAUGACAGAAGAAAAAAAUGAAGAGAUCAAUUCCUCUAGAAGUGUUUUGCAAGCUUUGUGACAGAGUUGCCAU
ensembl:lncRNA